UACGUAGGGUGCGAGCGUUGUCCGGAAUUAUUGGGCGUAAAGAGCUCGUAGGCGGUCUGUCGCGUCUGCUGUGAAAUCCCGAGGCUCAACCUCGGGCCUGCAGUGGGUACGGGCAGACUAGAGUGCGGUAGGGGAGACUGGAAUUCCUGGUGUAGCGGUGAAAUGCGCAGAUAUCAGGGAGGAACACCGGUGGCGAAAGGCGGGUCUCUGGGCCGUAACUGACGCUGGAGGAGCGAAAGCGUGGGGAGCGAACAGG
rnacentral:rRNA from 1 species